GAUGAACGCUGGCGGCGUGCUUAACACAUGCAAGUCGAACGGAAGGGCCCAAGCUUGCUUGGGUACUCGAGUGGCGAACGGGUGAGUAACACGUGGGUGAUCUGCCCUGCACUUCGGGAUAAGCCUGGGAAACUGGGUCUAAUACCGGAUAGGACGAUGGUUUGGAUGCCAUUGUGGAAAGUUUUUUCGGUGUGGGAUGAGCUCGCGGCCUAUCAGCUUGUUGGUGGGGUAAUGGCCUACCAAGGCGUCGACGGGUAGCCGGCCUGAGAGGGUGUACGGCCACAUUGGGACUGAGAGACGGCCCAGACUCCUACGGGAGGCAGCAGUGGGGAAUAUUGCACAAUGGGCGCAAGCCUGAUGCAGCGACGCCGCGUGGGGGAUGACGGCCUUCGGGUUGUAAACUCCUUUCGCUAGGGACGAAGCGUUUUUGUGACGGUACCUGGAGAAGAAGCACCGGCUAACUACGUG
rnacentral:rRNA from 1 species